GUAGUUGAAAUAGAUAAGUCUUGAGUCAAUCAGUACAUCUGUACCACAUUCAUGUGGCAAAUGCUGCUUUAUGGAGAUGUUUCUAAUACUGACCUACAAUAAUUCAGCCAAGAUCACGUUUCUACUGUCUUCAGGAAAUGAGAAAAAUGAAUCCAGGAAAUUUCCAUCUUUAACUAUACUCUGUAAAUGUGCUGUCCAAUACACAGAUAGCUACUGAGCACUGGAAUAUAGCUAGUCUGAAUGGAGAUGUUCUAAGGACGUGUUUGCUUCCCCUUCUGCCGUGACUGUAAGUUUCCUGAGGCCUCCCCAGCCCUGCAGAACUGUGAGUCAAUUAAACCUUUCCUUUAUAAACUACGCAGUUUCAGGUAUGUCCUUAACAGUAGCAUGAAAAUGAACUAAUACACUACUAUAGUAUACCUGGUCUACCCUGAUUAAUGCAGUGACCUUAGGGAAAUUGUCAAUUUUUUAAAUCAAGGGCAAUAGCACUACCAGGUUUUAGAUGGUUACACUAAGGACUUUAUGGGAAGCCAGAAUAAAUGAUGAUAACCUACAUCUGUUAUCUGGUCAUGGCUUGGUUCUGUGUCAAUGAGUUUAGGUUUGGAGUGAACUAUCCCAUGUGUCAGGGUGAUCUUAAAUAUAUUGCAUUGAUUUUUUAGUCAAUUUUAUUGAGGUAUAAUCCACAUACAGUAAAAUUCACCAUUUUUUAAACAUGUAGCUUUAUAAAUCUUGAUGAAUGUAGAUAUUUGUAUAACUACUACUAUCAUCAAGAUAUACAUAGAAUAUUUUCAUCGCUCCAAAAAUGUCCUCUAUCCUUCUUUGUAACACAGCCUCUUCCCCCAUCCCCAACUCCCUGACAAUCACGUCUUGGAUCUAUGUCCCUUUAAAUUUGCUUUUCUCAGAUAAUCAUGUAACUGGAAUCACAUGGCAUAUAAGCUUUUGUGUCUGGCUUUCUUCAGUUAGCAUGAUGUUUUUGAGAUUCAUCCAUGUUGUUGCAUCAAUUGUUCAUCUAGUUUUGCUUUUGAGUAGCACUUUGUUUUAUGGAAUUAUCACAAUUUGUUUAUCCAUUCACUCCAUCACUAAUGAUGAACAUUUGUAUUGUUUUCAGUUUGAGGCAAUUAUGAGUAAAAAUGCUGUGAACAUUCACAUAGAGGUUUUUGUGAGGACAUGGGUUUUCAUUACUCUUGGGUAAAUACUUAGAUGAGCUAUUGAUUGAUCAUAUGGUAAGUGUAUACUUAUUUUUCAAAAUUAUGUUUCAAAGUGAUGGUAACAUUUGCAUUACUACUAGAAAAAUGUAUGAGUUCUAGAUGUUCCACACCUUUACCAGUACUUUGUAUUUUCAGCUUUUAAAGUUUUAUCCACUCUCUAGUAUAAGUGUGGUAAUAUCUUACUUUGAUUUUAAUUGGGAUUCCCCUAAUGACUCGUGGUAUUGAGUAUCUUUUCAUGUGCUUACUUACCUCUUGGAUUUCUUCCUUGGUGAGUUGUUUAUUCAAGUUCUUUGUUAAUUUUUUCAUAUUUGGUUUUGUGUCUUCUUUUAUUAUUCAGUUACAGAUAGUCCAGAUAUUUUAGUUUAUAUGUUUUAAACAUAACUCCCUUUUAAUGUGUAUAAAGUAAACACUGCAUCAUGUUUUAAAUUCGACAAACUCAGCCAAAUGGGAGAAUAUUGAAAGGCAGUGGUACAGUACAGGCCUGAGAAAGAAUUGAAGAUCAUUUUACCCCUUUCCCUUCCCAGAGCCUUGGAAAGAAGAACCACGCAGAGAGACAACAUAUGUAACCUCAUGCUUUUUAUGUACAAGUGGUGGAAUUUUUCCAUUCUCCAUUUUCUUUCUUCUCUAUCUUCCUGUAUCUUUGUCACCAUGUUAAGGUAACAUCCAGCCACAUGCCCCAAAUCUUCAAUACGUUAUGCCAAUUCAGGGUGACUUAAAGAUGCUUUGUAAAUGCUCUUUUGCAAAAAAGUAUGAUUAAAGGAUUUCAGCGUAUUCUCUCACUGGGACAUCUUAUGUUAUUCUGAAAUGAAGAGUUUACUAAAAUUAUAUUUGAUCAUGAUGAAUCUUUUUAAAACCACUUAAGGAAACAGGAAGAAUUUCUUAUAUUCUGGAAAUUUUGUCUGUGAUAAUAAUUGUCAUGGAUUGUUGUCCUUAGAAUCAAGGGGGUUCAUCACAAAACAACUUUUUAUGGUAAUGAGGAAGCAGAUCAUUCAAGUUUGUUUUUCCUCCUCAAGAAUUCUUUGUAAAUGUGUUUGGAAAAGUUUGGUAGCCUUAUUUUCUAUAUUAAUUUUUGAAUAUUUAAAAUAAAUUGUUUCUAGGUUUGAAAAUUAUCACCUGCCUGAGGCAAAUAACUAACUAAACAAAGGAGUUCUAAUACUUGAAUUGUAAUUUCCCACAUAAUAUACGUAUUUUUGCUCAAUCUCUCUUGGGUUAGGAAGAGCUGAACUCAGAAGUUUGUUUCCUUCUGUCAUCAAUAAUAUUUAUAAUAGUUCAAUUACAUUUCAUCUAUUAUUUAUGAGUAUUGAGAGAUAAAAAGAUUUUUCCUACAUUGGAGUAGAUAAGUAUGUCAUGAUUAAGAAAUUAAUCACUUAAGCACCAACUUAAAAAUUGAUUCAAAAAAUAUUGUGAAUUAAAAAAAUAAAUACUGUGUGGUCAAGACUAUCCCAGGGAAAGUAUUCAUUUUAUGCAAUUUGAAUAUCAUCAGCCCCUUAGUGAAAACCUGCUUCUAUGAGGGAGCAUUACGUUGUUUUUCACCAUGCUUGAUUUAUGUCACACAAAAUAAUCCUCCUCCUCUUUCUAUUAUCUGUCCAAUGAUAACUUUAAAUUCUUUACUCUGGGCUAACCAAAUUUUUAUCUAUUGUCAUGUAUUAUUAUGUAGUCUCAAUAUGACUUAAUAUAUAAUGGAAGUAAAUAUGAUUGAAACAGAACUUGUAAAAUGCAGCAGAAAGAUAUGGACCCCAAAGGCCAUAAAGACAAACUAGGAGACUGAAAAGUGCAGCUUGCCAAAAGUCUUUGGAGUCAAAUGUUUUAUUUCUUAACGUGAAGUCUUUAGGGAAUUGGAUCAAAUCAAAUAAAAAGAGACAUGAGAAAAGUGAAACAAUCACAGAAAUAAUCAUUUAUUGAACAUCUACUACAUACUAGACUCUACUCUUCAUGCUUUAUGUGCAUUAACUUGUAAUCUUUACAGCAACUUAAUGAGGUUGUUACUAUUAUUAGACCAAUUUUACAGAGUAGAAAACCAAGGUCACACAGUUGAUAACUGACAGAGUCACAAUUGCAUCCUAGCAGUUGAGCUACUAAGCCCAUGGUUUUAUUCAGUAUGCUAUGCUACCUCUCAAUUCAGUUAAUUAAUAGCUCAAAAAGAUCUUCUCUCAUAAUAAAUUAUUAUAAUUGUUAUUUGAAAUUAGUAUUGUUAGCUAUAACUGGAAAAAAAUCUGAUUUCUGUUUUCAAAGAAUGUUUAGCUAAUGGGUUAUCUAUAGAUUGGAUCUGUAAAAUAAUGCAAUUUAUUUUCUUAAAAGUAGCAACAUUUAUAAAUCCAAAUGCUUAUUGUCCUUCUCAGAGCGGUUACCUUGGGAGACCUUAUAUUUAUGUCAAAGAAGCUAUCAUUACUCAAAAUAUUUUUGCUUUGUCUUUUUAAAUUGUCUUGGAAAACUGGGAAUCUUAAAAAUAUUUCUGUUGGUAGUAACAUUAAACUUUUAUUUUAUUUUAUUAUCAUCUUAUUUUUUAAAUUAAUUUAUUUAUUUUUGAAAUGGAAUCUCACUCUGUUGCCCAGGCUAGAGUUCAGUGGCAUGAUCUCCACUCACUGCAACCUCUGCCGCCUGGGUUCAAGCAAUUCUCAUGCCUCAGCCUCCCAAGUAGCUGGGAUUACAGGUGCUCACCACCACGCCCAGCUAAUUUUUGUAUUUUUAAUAGAGAGAGGGUUUCACCUUGUUGGCUAGGCUGGUCUUGAACUCCUGACCUCAAGUGAUCCACCCACUUCAGCCUCCCAAAGUGUUGGGAUUACAGGCUUGAGCCACUGUGCCCGGCCAUAUUAAACUUUUAAAUGUGGAUUUGAAUGUUGGAAACAAGUUUUGUAGAUAAAAAUCCAGUUAACCAAAAUUAGAUGUAAUUCUAAACAAAAAUGAGUUCUUGUUGAGACUCAGGAUGGCCUUUAUUUCAGGUCUACAACAUUUAAAAUGGUUGGAGAAUGGGGCAAUGACAGUUUUGGAGUUUACUAAAUUGUCUAGCUUACUAAGGUGUCUACAACCUUGAAGCAACAACUUUUGUUAGUGUAAGCUCUGAUAUGUUUUAUUAAAACAGACAAUAUUAAUAGCUCAUAGAUCUGUGCCUAAUAUCUUGCUUUAACUCAUAAGUGGGUUGGAUGUUUCUGAAUUAAUAACAGAACCAUUGUUUGAGUGUUCCAUGUUGAUCCUAAUG
ensembl:lncRNA novel transcript